GACAGAGGUCCCGAGCGUUAGGCGGAAUCACUGGGCUUAAAGCGUGUGUAGGCGGAUCGUUAAGUGCCUUGUGAAAUCCCACGGCUUAACCGUGGAACUGCUUGGCAUACUGGCGGUCUUGAGCAACCGAGGGGCAAGCGGAACAAAUGGUGGAGCGGUGAAAUGCGUAGAUAUCAGGAGGAACACCAAUGGCGAAGGCAGGUUACUGGGCAUGAUCUGACGCUGAGGCGCGAAAGCGUGGGUAGCAAACAGG
rnacentral:rRNA from 1 species